CCCGCGCCCGUCUGCAGAAGAUCCAGGCGAUGGGAGGCUCAGGCCCCAGUAAUUGGCAGCCAUCCCAGUCCAGGAUACUAAUUCUCAACCCUGGCAGAUAAAUAAGCAGAAGAUAUCUAGAGAGAUAGCAGAUGACAGAUGGAUGGAUGGACAGACAGACACGCAUGCGCUCAGGGCAGAAGACAAGAGCAAGUGCCCCCAGGAGGAGCAGAGAAAUCGUCAUCAUGUGACCAAGGAGGAGUCCGGGGUGGGCGACACUGACACCUCCUGGUGUGGGACUGAGUGAGUCGGGCCUGACCAUGGAGAAUCAGGGCCAGGGCUGGUUUACCCAGCUCCAAUCAUGUCAGAUCCGAGCAAACCUGUAACAACAGCUGCAUCGAAGACCCUGGCUUCCUGGCAGUCCUCCACUCAGAGCGCCACCAGCGGCCGGCCCUGGAUCUUACCAGCCUAUCACCAGGGGAGCAGAUGGGGCCCAGACCUUCCCCACUGCCACCCCAGGGGCUCUCCCAGGCUCCCAACACCCCAUUUUAUUACCUGCCAGGAUGGGAGGUCAGAAGUCUGAAAGGUGCUGGCCUUGACAGAAAUCAAGGCCCUGGCAGGGCUGCCUCCCUCUG